CGAGUGGCGAACGGGUGAGUAAUACAUCGGGACGUACCCAGAAGUGGGGGAUAACGUAGCGAAAGUUACGCUAAUACCGCAUACGUUCUACGGAAGAAAGUGGGGGAUCGCAGGACCUCAUGCUUUUGGAGCGGCCGAUGUCUGAUUAGCUAGUUGGUAGGGUAAAGGCCUACCAAGGCGACGAUCAGUAGCUGGUCUGAGAGGACGACCAGCCACACUGGAACUGAGACACGGUCCAGACUCCUACGGGAGGCAGCAGUGGGGAAUUUUGGACAAUGGGCGCAAGCCUGAUCCAGCAAUGCCGCGUGAGUGAAGAAGGCCUUCGGGUUGUAAAGCUCUUUUGUCAGGGAAGAAACGGCUGUGGCUAAUAUCCAUGGCUAAUGACGGUACCUGAAGAAUAAGCACCGGCUAACUACGUGCCAGCAGCCGCGGUAAUACGUAGGGUGCAAGCGUUAAUCGGAAUUACUGGGCGUAAAGCGUGCGCAGGCGGUUUUGUAAGUCUGACGUGAAAUCCCCGGGCUCAACCUGGGAAUUGCGUUGGAGACUGCAAGGCUG
rnacentral:rRNA from 1 species